AACGAACGCUGGCGGCAGGCUUAACACAUGCAAGUCGAGCGCCCCGCAAGGGGAGCGGCAGACGGGUGAGUAACGCGUGGGAAUCUACCCAUCACUACGGAACAACUCCGGGAAACUGGAGCUAAUACCGUAUACGUCCUUCGGGAGAAAGAUUUAUCGGUGAUGGAUGAGCCCGCGUUGGAUUAGCUAGUUGGUGGGGUAAUGGCCAACCCAGGCGACGAUCCAUAGCUGGUCUGAGGGGAUGAUCAGCCACACUGGGUCUGAGACACGGCCCAGACUCCUACGGGAGGCAGCAGUGCGGAAUAUUGGACAAUGGGCGCAAGCCUGAUCCAGCCAUGCCGCGUGAGUGAUGAAGGCCCUAGGGUUGUAAAGCUCUUUCACCGGUGAAGAUAAUGACGGUAACCGGAGAAGAAGCCCCGGCUAACUUCGUGCCAGCCGCCGCAGUAA
rnacentral:rRNA from 1 species